AAAACCCCUUCACUGCGCUGGGGCAAGUAAUGGUUUGGUAUUAAAAUAAACAAAAUCAAAGCAAACAAGGUUACAAAGACAGUUUGUGUGGACACAAACUCAAAAUCGGCCCCC